UAAUUUUUCCAACACGCUUUAUUGUGAGAGUAAUUUUAGUUACUUGGCUAUCUUAUCAAUGAUAUCAAUACAUAAAUCGCAUUCUAAAUUAAUGCAAUGAUGGACAAUGUUUUUUUUAGCUAUGACGGUGGCAUAUUAUUAGAAUUCAUCGAUAACACUUUGAUUUUGGUCAGCACCGGCUCGUGGGAUGAGCCAAUGAAGCACUGGCUCAGGGCGCCCGCCUAUGGAGGACGCCAAAUCAACAGAGCAUAGUUUACCCAUAGAUGGUCGACCAUAUUACAACGAAUACAUUUUUGUAAGGAAAAUUUUUUAUUUUCGUCGGUAUUUAGUCAUUGAAAAAAAAAACGAUAUGUCUCAUUUUUCGAAGAAGAAAAAUAAAUUAAGUGGAGAACGACCAAGAAAAUGGUAGUACCAAUCGAGGCACGAAGGGUUCUUUUUUCAAGAAUGUUUGGAUAAUAAUUUGUUCAACACUGUGAUAAUAGAAUAUAGAUAAAUGAAUCUAUGUGGUUUUAUCAAAAAAUUUGUACCUUUUCAACGCUGUGAUGAUGAAUGAUGGAAUACAAAUAAAUAAGUACAUGAAAUUUUA